rnacentral:rRNA from 1 species
UUAAGCAUAUCAAUAAGCGGAGGAAAAGAAACCAACAGGGAUUGCCCCUAGUAACGGCGAGUGAAGCGGCAACAGCUCAAAUUUGAAAUCUGGCUCUUUCAGAGUCCGAGUUGUAAUUUGCAGAGGGCGCUUUGGCUUUGGCAGCGGUCCAAGUUCCUUGGAACAGGACGUCACAGAGGGUGAGAAUCCCGUACGUGGUCGCUAGCUAUUGCCGUGUAAAGCCCCUUCGACGAGUCGAGUUGUUUGGGAAUGCAGCUCUAAAUGGGAGGUAAAUUUCUUCUAAAGCUAAAUAUUGGCCAGAGACCGAUAGCGCACAAGUAGAGUGAUCGAAAGAUGAAAAGCACUUUGGAAAGAGAGUCAAACAGCACGUGAAAUUGUUGAAAGGGAAGCGCUUGCAGCCAGACUUGCUUGCAGUUGCUCAUCCGGGCUUUUGCCCGGUGCACUCUUCUGCAGGCAGGCCAGCAUCAGUUUGGGCGGUGGGAUAAAGGUCUCUGUCACGUACCAUCCUUCGGGAUGGCCAUAUAGGGGAGACGUCAUACCACCAGCCUGGACUGAGGUCCGCGCAUCUGCUAGGAUGCUGGCGUAAUGGCUGUAAGCGGCCCGUCUUGAAACACGGACCAAGGAGUCUAACAUCUAUGCGAGUGUUUGGGUGUCAAGCCCGAGCGCGUAAUGAAAGUGAACGGAGGUGGGAACCCGCAAGGGUGCACCAUCGACCGAUCCUGAAGUUUACGGAAGGAUUUGAGUAAGAGCAUGGCUGUUGGGACCCGAAAGAUGGUGAACUAUGCUUGAAUAGGGUGAAGCCAGAGGAAACUCUGGUGGAGGCUCGCAGCGGUUCUGACGUGCAAAUCGAUCGUCAAAUUUGGGCAUAGGGGCGAAAGACUAAUCGAACUAUCUAGUAGCUGGUUCCUGCCGAAG